rnacentral:misc_RNA from 1 species
GUAGGUGAACCUGCGGAAGGAUCAUUAUUGAAUUAUGGUGUCUUUUGACCCAACCCUCAUUAUCCUUCUAAUACCUGUGAACUGUCUAGGAGUCGUUGUGUUUUGCGAGUAAUUCCUUUGAAUUUUCAAAGUUGAACAGCAAGCGUUAUACAUCGAUUUCCAAAACUAUCUAUAAACAACGUAUAAAGCAUGUAUUAAAUUGAAAUCAAUCUGUUCAGUUUGUUCGAAACAGCUAUGCUGCAGUAGGCAUUCUUUCCAGGGCGAUGAUUAAAUAUCAAUACAACUUUUAGCAACGGAUCACUUGGCUCUC